rnacentral:rRNA from 1 species
UCCUGGCUCAGGAUGAACGCUAGCUACAGGCUUAACACAUGCAAGGUCGAGGGGUAGCAGGGUAGCAAUACCGCUGACGACCGGCGCACGGGUGAGUAACACGUAUCCAACCUUCCCAUAACUCAGGGAUAGCCUUUCGAAAGAAAGAUUAAUACCUGAUAGUACUUUUUCAAGGCAUCUUGAGAAAGUUAAAGAUUUAUUGGUUAUGGAUGGGGAUGCGUUCCAUUAGAUAGUUGGUGAGGUAACGGCUCACCAAGUCUUCGAUGGAUAGGGGUUCUGAGAGGAAGGUCCCCCACAUUGGUACUGAGACACGGACCAAACUCCUACGGGAGGCAGCAGUGAGGAAUAUUGGUCAAUGGGCGAGAGCCUGAACCAGCCAAGUAGCGUGAAGGAUGAAGGUCCUAUGGAUUGUAAACUUCUUUUAUAGUAGAAUAAAGUGAUCCACGUGUGGAUUUUUGUAUGUAUACUAUGAAUAAGGAUCGGCUAACUCCGUGCCAGCAGCCGC